rnacentral:rRNA from 1 species
CCUGCCCAUAAGACUGGGAUAACCCACGGAAACGUGAGCUAAUACCAAAUAGGCAUCUUCUUCGCAUGAGGGAGAUGAGAAAGACGGUUUCGGCUGUCACUUAUGGAUGGACCUGCGGCGCAUUAUCUAGUUGGUGAGGUAACGGCUCCCCAGGGCGACGAUGCCUACCCGACCUGAGAGGGUGAUCGGCCACACUGGGACUGAGACACGGCCCAGACUCCUACGGGAGGCAGGAGUAGGGAAUCUUCCGCAAUGGGCGAAAGCCUGACGGAGCCACCCCGCGAGAGUGAUGAAGGUUUUCGGAUCGAAAAGCUCUGUUGCCAAGGAAGAACGCUCAGGAGAGUAACUGCUCUUGAGGUGACGGUACUUGAGAAGAAAGCCCCGGCUAACUACGUGCCC